AACGCUGGCGGCGUGCCUAAUACAUGCAAGUCGAACGCUUUGUGGUUCAACUGAUUUGAAGAGCUUGCUCAGAUAUGACGAUGGACAUUGCAAAGAGUGGCGAACGGGUGAGUAACACGUGGGAAACCUACCUCUUAGCAGGGGAUAACAUUUGGAAACAGAUGCUAAUACCGUAUAACAAUAGCAACCGCAUGGUUGCUACUUAAAAGAUGGUUCUGCUAUCACUAAGAGAUGGUCCCGCGGUGCAUUAGUUAGUUGGUGAGGUAAUGGCUCACCAAGACGAUGAUGCAUAGCCGAGUUGAGAGACUGAUCGGCCACAUUGGA
rnacentral:rRNA from 1 species